AACAUUGAUUGUUGUGUUCUGGCUUCAGUUCCUUGUUGAUGAGCCUGAGAAUUCUGGCAGCAUACACUUGCUUUUAGCUUCUCCUUGUCUAAAGUUGAGUCUGGUUAGCUUCAAAUCUUUCUUCUUCCGCACAUUUUUCCUAUCUUGUUUAGAAAAAAAAAAAAAAAAAAAAAAGUGAUCUUAUGAGUACCAUGAAUGUCCACGUAUGAUUGUAACAAUUCAAGUCACUGCUAGCAGAUAUUGGCCGCUUUAGUCCGUUAUGUAUCGUCGUCAGCCUCACGGUUUUAAAACGUGUCUACUAGGGAAAUGUUUUCACAUUUUUAUAAGGUUGAAAAAGACAAUGGAUUUGGCCAAUUUAUUGAAAAAGACAAUGGUAGGUGAUGGUGUUCAAUGCUUAGGUUGGAUGGGAAUGCUUCUCUCUCACUCUGCUCCCGCAUGCGGGAAAAAAAACACCUUAUUUUCUGCAAACGGUGGUCUCCAUUUAUGUGGUGUUUUAAGAGCUUCCCACACAGGUGAUGUAUAUACAUUUUUGGGUGCACGCAGGUGUCUUCCAGAGUGCUUUUAAAUUAAGUGUUUGUAGCAAAAGUACUUGGUAGAAAGAAAUCUGUGAUGUUUUCUUAAGACUAACUUCAAGCAUUUUUUAAGGGGAUUUUUAUGAAAACCGUUUUGCAAAUUCUUUCUCACAAAACAAAUAUUGUAGUUUUGGAAAAAUGUCAUAUUGUAACGAAAAGGUGUUAUUGUCAUUA